GUCUGGCCUGCCCACUGAUAUUUUAAAGGGCCGCGGUACUAAACCGUGCUAAGGUAGCAUAAUCAAUAGUCUUUUAAUUGGGGUCUAGAAUGAAAGGUCGGACGAAAGAUUAUCUGUCUUAUAUAAAUAAAGAAUUUUACCUUUAAGUGAAAAGGCUUAAAUAAAAUAAUGGGACGAUAAGACCCUGUGAAGUUUGAAUAAAUAUAAAAUAAAAAUUUAAUUAUAGUUAUUAUUAUUUAUUUUAUAUUACGUUUAGCUGGGGCGGCUAGAAUAUAAAUGUUUAACUGUUUAUAAAAAGAAGAAUAAAAUUAAUUAGUUAAUUUUAUCCUUUAAUAAGGAAAAAAAAUUAAAACUACUCCAGGGAUAACAGCGUAAUUUUUCUUGAGAGUUCUUAUCGACAGAAAUAGUUGCGACCUCGAUGUUGAAUUAAAAUUUCAUUAAGGCGGAGAAGCUUUAGUUGUAGGUCUGUUC
rnacentral:rRNA from 1 species